ACAUUGCAGAUGUUUUACGUUAAAAAUUCCUUAGCAAUGAUUGCAUCAAUAACAAAACAAAAUUACAAUUGUCGACUAUUUGCUCACCAGUUCUGUUUCAGCCACAAUUCGCUUCGUACUUAUUUACAUUUGCAGUGGAACUUCAACAUGAUAAAAGUGCCUUGUACCUUUUUCAGCGCAUUGUUCGGAUGCGGUGUCCGAUCGGUGGAUAGAAAUGAUUCUAUUGAUGACGAACCAUCAGAGCCAUCAGAGUCAGGCGGUUUAUCAUUGGUUCCAACACCAGAUUUUAUUGAAUUCAUUGAGGAAUUUCUGAGUUUACCAGAAGAUCCACAACUGGUUAAAGAUUAAAUUUGGAUAAACUGCACAUCAGCAGCAUUGUAUACAGUUGCGAAAAAUAAACGAUUUUUUAUUGAGUUCGAUUG